UACGGAGGGGGCUAGCGUUGUUCGGAAUUACUGGGCGUAAAGCGCACGUAGGCGGCUUUGUAAGUUAGAGGUGAAAGCCCGGGGCUCAACUCCGGAACUGCCUUUAAGACUGCAUCGCUAGAAUUGUGGAGAGGUGAGUGGAAUUCCGAGUGUAGAGGUGAAAUUCGUAGAUAUUCGGAAGAACACCAGGGGCGAAGGCGACUCACUGGACAAAUAUUUGCGCUGAAGUUCCAAAGCGUUGGGAGCAAACAGG
rnacentral:rRNA from 1 species